rnacentral:lncRNA from 1 species
AACUCUCCCGCGUAUCCUGUGUUUCGUCGGCGGCGGACAGUGUUCUGUAAUGUGUCUCCCUUUGCCCGAGCUAAAGGUUUUCCUCGACGGAGUCUUUAGAAUACCGUGGUAGAGGUAGACGUGGUUACAAAUUGAUGUCUGUUGAGACAGUCUACCCCUGUAAAGUGUUUUUGGUUACUCACGCCCGGAUGGAAAUUGGAGAUGGGGAUUACAAAAAUAUAUCAAAUGUGGCAGUUAUUGAUUCCCUUUACCUUAACAUUUUUGCACCGGAAACGACCAAAAUUAAGUUCAACAGGAAUAUUAAUAAAAGGAAUAGUCGGGCUUGGUGGCUCAUGCCUGUAAUCCCAGCACUUCGGGAGGCCGAGGCAGUCUCCACACCACUGCUCGAACAGCUCUAUGAAGAGGCCUAUGUGGAGAGGAGAAAAAGCCUCCACCAACAGCCAGCACCAACUUGCCAGCCAUAUGGCGUCUUGCUCUGUCGCCCAGGCUGGAGUGCAGUGGUGUGAUCUCA